UCUGUGAAAAAUGUGGAAAAC
rnacentral:piRNA from 1 species